rnacentral:snRNA from 1 species
CAGUGUUACAGCUCUUUUAGAAUUUGUCUAGUAGGUCUGGCUUUUGCUGGAAGGCUCUU